GCGCUGAUAAGCUUUUUCAUUGAGUAACAUAUUUCCUCCAGUACAAACUAAAUGUAAAUGGGGAUCAAUGCACAUAGCAAAACUUCUAUUCAUAUUCAAACUGAACUUCCACAUGCAUAUAUUUUCUCAUAAGACGAACAAUGGAUGAGGUGAAAUUAGCUAAAAUCUGGCACUCAACAUGGGUUUUAGCCUCAGAAACAACCCCAUAAAUAACCAAUUUCCUCAAAUUGGGGCACCUAGCUAGGAGCCCUGCCAC
rnacentral:misc_RNA from 1 species